CCUGUAUUGAUGGUGAAAAGUUGCAAGUUAGUAAAUCUACAAGAAAUAUAAAACACAUUACUGGUCAAAUUCUCAUGGUUUGGAUUGUAUCUUUUACAUAAAAGAAUAAAAGAAUGAUUGAUCUCUUUUCGUGGCAUCAACCAUUGAAUCAUACCUAGCAUAGAUCUCAAAGCACUUCGAAGGAUCUCUUUUAUCUAUUUGCACAAAUCUCU
rnacentral:lncRNA from 1 species